rnacentral:rRNA from 1 species
CCCUUAGAUGUUCUUGGCCGCACGCGUGCUACACUGAGUGGAUCAGCGGGUCAGGUUGCGCGAAAGCGUUUCCUAAUCUUUAAAUCCGCUCGUGAUGGGGAUUGACGGUUGCAAUUUUCUGUCAUGAACGAGGAAUACCUUGUAAGCGCGGGUCAUCAUCCCGCGCUGAAUACGUCCCUGCCCUUUGUACACACCGCCCGUCGCUCCUACCGAUUGAGUGGUCCGGUGAGGCUUUGGGAUCUGAGCGGAAAGAGCGUUUCGCUGUUUCUGCCCGGAAAACUCAGUCGAACCUUAUCAUUUAGAGGAAGGAGAAGUCGUAACA